CGUCCAGACUCCUACGGGAGGCAGCAGUGGGGAAUAUUGGGCAAUGGGCGCAAGCCUGACCCAGCAACGCCGCGUGAAGGAAGAAGGCUUUCGGGUUGUAAACUUCUUUUAAGAGGGACGAAACAAAUGACGGUACCUCUUGAAUAAGCCACGGCUAACUACGUGCCAGCAGCCGCGGUAAUACGUAGGUGGCAAGCGUUAUCCGGAUUUAUUGGGUUUAAAGGGUGCGCAGGCGGCACGGCGAGCCGGCGGUCAAAUCGCGGGGCUCAACCCCGCCCAGCCGUCGGAACUGCCGGGCUAGAGUGGGCGAGAAGUGCGCGGAAUGCGUGGUGUAGCGGUGAAAUGCAUAGAUAUCACGCAGAACUCCGAUUGCGAAGGCAGCUUACUAAACUGUGACUGACAUUGAUGCUCGAAAGUGUGGGUAUCAAACAGGAUUAGAUACCCCUGUAA
rnacentral:rRNA from 1 species